rnacentral:rRNA from 1 species
AUUGAACGCUGGCGGCAUGCCUUACACAUGCAAGUCGAACGGUAACAGGUCUUCGGAUGCUGACGAGUGGCGAACGGGUGAGUAAUACAUCGGAACGUGCCCGAUCGUGGGGGAUAACGAGGCGAAAGCUUUGCUAAUACCGCAUACGAUCUACGGAUGAAAGCGGGGGAUCUUCGGACCUCGCGCGGACGGAGCGGCCGAUGGCAGAUUAGGUAGUUGGUGGGAUAAAAGCUUACCAAGCCGACGAUCUGUAGCUGGUCUGAGAGGAUGAUCAGCCACACUGGGACUGAGACACGGCCCAGACUCCUACGGGAGGCAGCAGUGGGGAAUUUUGGACAAUGGGCGAAAGCCUGAUCCAGCCAUGCCGCGUGCAGGAUGAAGGCCUUCGGGUUGUAAACUGCUUUUGUACGGAACGAAAAGCCUCUUUCUAAUAAAGAGGGGUCAUGACGGUACCGUAAGAAUAAGCACCGGCUAACUACGUGCCAGCAGCCGCGGUAAUACGUAGGGUGCAAGCGUUAAUCGGAAUUACUGGGCGUAAAGCGUGCGCAGGCGGUUUUGUAAGACAGAGGUGAAAUCCCCGGGCUCAACCUGGGAACUGCCUUUGUGACUGCAAGGCUUGAGUGCGGCAGAGGGGGAUGGAAUUCCGCGUGUAGCAGUGAAAUGCGUAGAUAUGCGGAAGAACACCGAUGGCGAAGGCAAUCCCCUGGGCCUGCACUGACGCUGAGGAGCGAAAGCGUGGGGAGCGAACAGGAUUAGAUACCCUGGUAGUCCACGCCGUAAACGUUGGGCACUAGGUGUGGGGGGUCUUUUCCGGGUUUUCCGCGCCGUAGCUAACGCAUUAAGUGCCCCGCCUGGGGAGUACGGCCGCAAGGCUAAAACUCAAAGGAAUUGACGGGGGCCCGCACAAGCGGCGGAGCAUGCGGAUUAAUUCGAUGCAACGCGAAGAACCUUACCAAGGCUUGACAUGUGCCGGUCGGCUCCGGAGACGGGGUUUCCUCCUUGUGGGGCCGGUUCACAGGUGGUGCAUGGUCGUCGUCAGCUCGUGUCGUGAGAUGUUGGGUUAAGUCCCGCAACGAGCGCAACCCUUGUCCCGUGUUGCCAGCACGUUGUGGUGGGGACUCGCGGGAGACUGCCGGGGUCAACUCGGAGGAAGGUGGGGAUGACGUCAAAUCAUCAUGCCCCUUAUGUCUUGGGCUUCACGCAUGCUACAAUGGCCGGUACAGAGGGCUGCGAUACCGUGAGGUGGAGCGAAUCCCUUAAAGCCGGUCUCAGUUCGGAUCGGUGUCUGCAACUCGACACCGUGAAGUUGGAGUCGCUAGUAAUCGCAGAUCAGCAACGCUGCGGUGAAUACGUUCUCGGGCCU